ACCUCCCUUUGCAAUAAAUCUGUCUCAAAAAGUAAUAUUAGCGAGAAAAUUAAAAUUAUUUGUUUGUGUCAGAUACAUUUGCCGAGGGACCAUAUCCAUGUUCAUUUGGAAUCUGUUACACCAGGUAUCGUCUUAAAAAAGAUAGGACUACACUAACAAAUGGUAAAGCAUAAUAUUCUAUUGGCAACAUUCUUCUAUUGGCAAUAUUCUUGACAAGAAGUCCAGUGUGUACUCUUGAAGGACAUGAUGUUUGUCAUGGAGAUGAAUCAAACUUGCAAUAGUGCAGAUGGAAGUGUUGUCUGUGGUCUUUGUUUUCGGAAAUUUUCUUGCAAGUUCUCGUUUAUUGAUCACCAGAUAUUUUGUGGUCCACCUCAGCAACCAGUCUUCUCCGGUCAGUCCCAGUCUCAAAGCCCAGACAACCAGCAUCGUGUUAUUAAAGAGGAAAACAAGCAUGGCGACGGUUGCAGUCAGGCUCUGUACAGUGAAUCUGUGAGCAAAUUGUACGACGCAAGUGGAACUGAAAUUUCAUGCGAGACAAAAGUGGAAAGUAUGGAACCAGUUGUUAAUGUAAACCCAGCGGGAAAUACCCCUGUAAAGAAAUUGCCAAAGACAGGAGGAGGGUACAAAGCCUAUCCCUGUGACAUGUGCGAUCGUUCAUACACACGUAAAGACCAUCUGACUCGUCAUAAGCACAUUCAUACUGGUGUGCGCGAUUUUAGGUGCGAGGUUUGUGGAAAGGAGUUCUACCGCAAGGAUAAACUGCAACGUCAUGAGCGUACCCACGAGAAGGCUCCGUUAGUAUCGUGUAGUAUAUGCGGGAAGCAGUUUUCACGCAAAGAGAAACUUUCUCAACAUGAAAAGACGCAUGAAUUGAAAUUGCUGCAGGAUAAUCAGCCUAGUGUUGCAAUGCAGGGUUCGAAUUUAACAACUGGUCAGGUGGGACAAUUGCAGGUCGGACAAGUUCUUUGAAAAUCUUCUUGCCCCAAAAUAUAAGCUUCUUGCUCGGGCAUCUAAAACUGAAUUUACUGGUACUGCAAAACUAUUUAAAACAGAACAUAUAACACAGAUCUGUUAUUAGACAAUUCAUUCUGGCAAAAUGUCCUAUCCACUUAAUAUUGGUUUUAUUGCCCCCUGGCUCCAUGUGAACCAAGGUUAAGGGCCCUAGAAUAGUUAUAUUUGCCAACAGCUUGUCCAGAGAUAGAGAUUGUGAUUUAAUAGUAAAGAAUUAUUUGACACUCAUUUCCCGCUAGUAGCAACGCUCUCUUUCCUGGUAUGCAAGCGUUGUAGUCGAUAUCAUUAUGUACAUGUACAUGUUUUUUAAGGAUUUGUUUUAUUUUCUCAUGUUUUUAUGCUUUUAUGUUUAAAUAAGUCUACACCCAUGAGUUCAACCAUCAUAAGUUACUGUAAUUACUCUAAGUUUUCAGAUACUCUGAGUUUUCGGACACUUUCGGCCAAUUUUUUUUUCCAUGGCUCUUUAUUUUUGGACAUGCACUUUUCGUCUAUCAUUAAAGACUCUAAAUUUUUGGACAGUAUAUUUUACAGGGCUAUUUUUUAUUUUAACAGAUUUCGACACUGUAUUUGCUUAUCUUGUAACACUUAGAUUAUAUAUUUUUACUAACAGAUUAAGGUGUACCGUUAGAAAACAAUUUCUUCAACAAACAUCAUUUUGAAUGAUAUGUUCCUAUUAAGGAAGCAGUAUGUUUAAUGUUUUUUACUUUUUUGUUCUGUAUCAUUUAAGGCAAGAGUAAGCAAAGCUGUGAAGUUGUAUUUAUUUCAAAGUAGAAACACUAUUUUGCAUUGAGUUAUUGAUAUUAUUUUAAUAUAAUUAUAAUUUUGGGACAUUAAAUUUUUGUCUGUAAAUUUUCAGGCACCUGUAAUUUUUGAAUAUCUUCCGUAUUUAAAUUUUCUGAAAAAAUAAUCAUUUUUAUGUGUCUGAAAACUUAGAGUUAUUAAGUACAUAAAACAUCUUAUUGUGAUUCAGGUGAAAACGGGUUACAAAACAUAAAAUGUGUUUUAUGUUUUAUUGCAUGACUUGUCUGUAAAACUUUAUAACCGCAGUGUAUGAACGUUGCGUUAAUGUUAAUGUAUGUCUUUUUCUUAAAUUUAAUUGCUUACUAUUUUUUAUAAUUAUGACAAGUAUUUAAAUGUUAAUAGGAUGUGCUGCUUUAAGUAGAUAGGUGGCAAAUAAUAAACAUGUACCAGAUUGUAUGGUAUUUGAAUAUUGAUACCUACAGUAAAUUGAUUAAAAAUAUCCAUGCAUGCAUUUUUUAUCACAUCAUGUGAGGGAUAAGGUUUUAGUGGUGUCCGCCAGUCUGUCAGUCCAUUUGUCUGUCACAAAUUUUUCGGGGCUAUAUCUCAGAAACUAUAUGAGAUUUGAACAUGGGUGUAUCAAUAUUAAUGAGGAGAAUAGCCAUUGUUAUUGUACUGAUUUAACGAUAUCAUUUAUGAAAAAGUGUCAUGCACAGCAACCUUAAACUUACAAUUUCCUAAAUAAGAGUUAUUGGCUUUUGUUAAUUUUUGAUGAUGUCCAUCAGCGUCCUUUCUCAGAAACUACCCUAUAUAAGAUGUCAACAUGAAAUUUCAUAGGUGUAUAGAUAUCAAUAAAGAAAAAUGCAUGGCACAAAAUAAUAACCCAACACUUCUUUAACCUUUAAAGCGCUGGAGCUGAGUUUUAAAGGCCUUUGCAAACAGUUUGGAUCCAGAUGAGACGCCACAGAACGUGGCGUCUCAUCAGGAUCCAAACUGUUUGCUAUUCUGAUAGUGUUCUUUGAAAAAAAUCGAAGAAAAUGCUAAUUUUAGAAAUUCAGCAGAAGACAUUUUAGCAGAAGACAAAUUUCCCAGCAUGCAAAGGGUUAAGUAAGAGUUAUUACCUUUUGUUGUUUUUGUGUUGUGUCAUUUUCGAGAGCUAUAUGUGGGCUAUAUCACAGAUAAGAUACAGGAUUUCUACAUAAAACUUCAUGGGUUUAUCAAUAUCAAUAAGCAGUGGUGCUAUGCAGAUGAACCAUAACCCUACACUCUCUUCAGAGUUAUUGCCUUUUGUUGUUUUAGUACCGGUAUUUACCUUUUUAGGGCUACAUUGUAUAUCUCAGAUACUAUACCAUAUUUCAACAUGAAACUUCAUCAUCAUGGGUGUAUACAUGUAAAAGAGGAGAAUUGCAAUAUAUUAAAACAAUAACACUGAAAUGUGUUAUUUUACACUGUAUUUAUUCAUCUGCAUCCAUCAAUAAACAAUCAAAGCACUGAAGUUGUAUGCUGUUUUAUAAUCUUAGACGCAACUCAGUUUUCAAAAUUAUGGUAUAGCUUUUUAUAUUGCAAGUUUGAAAUGAACACUUUCAAAUUUAUAAAAAGUGUGUCUUAAAGCACAGGUCGAGAUGUUGUUUUUUUUUCAAAUCAUUAAUAAAAAGGUAAUUUAAGCUUCAUUUUGCGAAAACAGGGCUUUGUGCAUAUGCAUUCAUUGUCAUCCUAGUACCAGAGACUCUCUUUAAACAAAAACACCAUACAAUCAGAAAGUGUCGUCCUUGAUUAGCUUGUGCACAUUGCACAGGCUAAUCAGUGUGCACAGGCUAAUCUUAUUUCACAUGCAUCAAGCCCCGGUUUUCCUGAAAGCAUCAAAUUUGUACAGAUUUCAAUGAUAAACACUAGACUGGCCAAUGUCGUAUUACAAGCUGUGUAACAUUAUAGAUCAUAUACACAUACUGCAGUGUAGCAGUGGUUAACUAUAAACAGGCAGAUGCGGUGGUUAUCGUUCCUAGCGUAGUAGAGCAGACGCUCCUAGCAUUCGUCGUCUGCAUAAUUUUACUGCAGGUAGUGCAACAGGCAGUGGUUAUCGUUCCUAGGGUAGCUUAGCGCAUACUGACUUGCAAAACUUGCUCUGUAAACAUUAUUUGUGAGCUAACACUCACAACUAAAAAUGUUGGUGGGGAUAUCAAUUGAACAAGUUUGCAUGUUUGAUUUUUUGGCUGUAUUAAGCUUUCACAUUAAUGUUUUGUAUAUACUUUUAUAAGGAAAAUGUGUAUAAAAUAGUUCAAUGUUAUGGUACUACCUUUUGUGCUGGUUAACAAUGGAAUGGUGCAUGUAUUAUUCUGUUAAACGGCCUAGACAAAAUAUUUAUAUAAACUGUCAAAAUAUUUAUAUAAACUGUCAUGGGCCAGUCAAAAAAACUAUUAAGGGAAUAUCAACUUUAAAGUAUUUUUUUUCAUCACUGGAUUGCAUAUGGUGUACACAUUAUUAUAGGUCCAUUUUUCUUUAUGCAAACGUGUUCAACCCAUGUAUUUACAGUUGUAUCUAUCCAGACAAAUGUUUUCUUCCACAAAGGUUUACAUAUUUUGUGAAGGAUUCCUCUUGCCAAUCUAAAAGUGGACUGAUAAGACUUUUAUCAAGGGUCCUGUCUGUAAAAAAGGAGGCCCAAAGCAUUCGUUGCUUUUUUAGCUGUGAAUUGGUUUUAUAAUAUUCUUAACUUGAAAUGUGUUAUAGUUAGUAUCAGUAUGUAAUCAACAUAGUACAUAUUUAAGAAUG